AAUUUGGGCACUUUAUUUAAUAAAUAUGUUUCAAGCUACGAUAUAAAUCACUUGAUUUUUCUGAGAGUUAUAGAAUGUUCUCAUGGGACUGUAUCACAGGAAAAAGUACAUGAAUGUGUAAAGUAAUUAAAAUAAUCAUCCACAAAAGAAACCAAGAAGUCUUUGUAAUUCAUAAAUACAUUUACUCCAAAAAUAAAAGUCUACUUGUUUAUACAUUUUAUUCUGUAGUCAUAUUGUACCAAAACAAUUAGGCUUUCACUCUUGAGUGUAAGUAAUUAUGUUGACAAAUGAAAAAUGACAUUUUAAAAGGAGUAAUUUUGUCUGAAGUUAAGAUCUUUCAUGAUUUUUCAAACUUAUUUUAGAAGUUUACUUUUUAAAAUAAGAAUUUGGUUUUUUCAUUGGUUAUAGAACUAAUAUAGUCCCAAAUCAAGUUAAGUCACUACUGCAUUUCAUAUUUACUCUCAAAAUUCAAAAUUAUGAUACUUAUUACAGUUCUCAUUUUCAGUUUCACUCCAUGAUGCCAAGGAGAUGAAGAGAUAAACAUGUGGGUAUGGCUAGGCAGUUUGAGCCACAGGAUGCAAUUAGCAUCCUAGCCCAGGGUAAAUCCCUGCCUCCCACAGUUGAAGUCAUGGAAGGAUUGAAGAGAGGAGCAAUUACAUUUCCUGUGUCCUCUCAAUGACUUAUGACACCAACUACCUGGAAUUGAACCAAACUUCACAAUUCAAGGAUACACUCUUCUGCAAGUAAACUUUCACCCCAUGCACCAGCUGCUAGUUUGGGUUCUUCAGACCAACAUCAUUCUGGCCAGCUGGCUUCAAAUUUGGAAAUUCCCACUACUAGUUCAAAUUUUAUUUGCUAGACUGACUCACCAAAACUUAAGAAAGUGCUGUACUGAUGGUUAUACUUUAUUAUGACUACAGGAAAUCAGAGCCAUCCAUAUGGAAAACUUCACAGAGUAAGAUCUAAGAGAGGCCCAAAUAUGGAAACUCCCAUUGUCUGUGAACUUGUGGACUCUGUGAACUUGUAGACACUAUUAUCCAAAUAUGUUGUAGUACUCAAAAUAUCAGCAAUCACUGAAAGCUCUACUUAUUCUCUGUGUCAUCAUUUUGUUGGGGUUCUAUUACAUAGGUACAGUUGGCUGAUUCAAUGGACUUGUCCUUCAUUCUCCAGCCUCCUUCUCUCUAUGUGCUUAGGCUGAUUUCACCAAUCAUAAAGCCCUCACACUUUAUGGAUGAUUAUGGAUGCAGCAAUUCAUAGACACACUUGGAGCUUUGUGAAGUGGAGACAUGGGACUGGAGAGAUGGAUGGCUUGAUGGUCAAGAGCACUGGGA
rnacentral:lncRNA from 1 species